rnacentral:rRNA from 1 species
UCAGUCACACUGGAACUGAGACACGGUCCAGACUCCUACGGGAGGCAGCAGUAGGGAAUAUUGCGCAAUGGGGGAAACCCUGACGCAGCAACGCCGCGUGGAGGAUGACACUUUUCGGAGCGUAAACUCCUUUUCUUAGGGAAGAAUUCUGACGGUACCUAAGGAAUAAGCACCGGCUAACUCCGUGCCAGCAGCCGCGGUAAUACGGAGGGUGCAAGCGUUACUCGGAAUCACUGGGCGUAAAGGGCGCGUAGGCGGAUUAUCAAGUCUCUUGUGAAAUCUAAUGGCUUAACCAUUAAACUGCUUGGGAAACUGAUAGUCUAGAGUGAGGGAGAGGCAGAUGGAAUUGGUGGUGUAGGGGUAAAAUCCGUAGAUAUCACCAAGAAUACCCAUUGCGAAGGCGAUCUGCUGGAACUCAACUGACGCUAAGGCGCGAAAGCGUGGGGAGCAAACAGGAUUAGAUACCCUGGUAGUCCACGCCCUAAACGAUGUACACUAGUUGUUGGGGUGCUAGUCAUCUCAGUAAUGCAGCUAACGCAUUAAGUGUACCGCCUGGGGAGUACGGUCGCAAGAUUAAAACUCAAAGGAAUAGACGGGGACCCGCACAAGCGGUGGAGCAUGUGGUUUAAUUCGAAGAUACGCGAAGAACCUUACCUGGGCUUGAUAUCCUAAGAACCUUUUAGAGAUAAGAGGGUGCUAGCUUGCUAGAACUUAGAGACAGGUGCUGCACGGCUGUCGUCAGCUCGUGUCGUGAGAUGUUGGGUUAAGUCCCGCAACGAGCGCAACCCACGUAUUUAGUUGCUAACGGUUCGGCCGAGCACUCUAAAUAGACUGCCUUCGUAAGGAGGAGGAAGGUGUGGACGACGUCAAGUCAUCAUGGCCCUUAUGCCCAGGGCGACACACGUGCUACAAUGGCAUAUACAAUGAGACGCAAUACCGCGAGGUGGAGCAAAUCUAUAAAAUAUGUCCCAGUUCGGAUUGUUCUCUGCAACUCGAGAGCAUGAAGCCGGAAUCGCUAGUAAUCGUAGAUCAGCCAUGCUACGGUGAAUACGUUCCCGGGUCUUGUACUCACCGCCCGUCACACCAUGGGAGUUGAUUUCACUCGAAGCCGGAAUACUAAACUAGUUACCGUCCACAGUGGAAUCAGCGACUGGGGUGAAGUCGUAACAAGGUAACCGUAGGAGAACCUGCGGUUGGAUCACCUCCUUUCUA